AGAAUCACCAAUGGUGAUCGUUGGCUUGUUCGCUGAGCUGGGCAAUUUGAUUGCCCAAUCAAAUUGCAAUCAAAUUGCCCAGCUCAGCGAACAAGCCAACGAUCACCAUUGGUGAUUCUUCU
rnacentral:pre_miRNA from 1 species